rnacentral:rRNA from 1 species
CCCUUAGAUGUUCUGGGCCGCACGCGCGCUACAAUGAUGAAUUCAACGAGUUUAUAACCUUGGUUGAAAAACCUGGGUAAUCUUUUGAACUUUCGUCGUGAUGGGGCUAGACCCUUGCAAUUAUUGGUCUCCAACGAGGAAUCCCUAGUAAACGCAAGUCAUCAGCUUGCAUUGAUUACGUCCCUGCCCUUUGUACACACCGCCCGUCGCACCUACCGAUUGAAUGGUCCGGUGAAAUCUUCGGACUGUGACUUUGAUCUGUUAACUCAAAACGCUGUUAUGGGAAGUUGAUUAAACCUUACCAUUUAGAGGAAGGUGAAGUCGUAACA